CAGCCGCCGCGGGAAUACGGAGGGGGCUAGCGUUGUUCGGAAUUACUGGGCGUAAAGCGUACGUAGGCGGCUUUGUAAGUUAGAGGUGAAAGCCCGGAGCUCAACUCCGGAAUUGCCUUUAAGACUGCAUCGCUUGAAUCGUGGAGAGGUGAGUGGAAUUCCGAGUGUAGAGGUGAAAUUCGUAGAUAUUCGGAAGAACACCAGUGGCGAAGGCGGCUCACUGGACACGUAUUGACGCUGAGGUACGAAAGCGUGGGGAGCAAACAGGAUUAGAGACCCCAGUAGUCCCUGUCUCUUAUAC
rnacentral:rRNA from 1 species